AAAAGCAUGAUUGGUAGACAGACCAACUCAGUGGGGUUAUAGAGUGAUCAGCCAAAUAAGUGGGAAUUUUAACAGUUCAGUGAUAUGUGUAUAUCUGCUCAUUUUAUCUCUUUCCAAAUGAUUAGUUCUUCAACCUCUGUUCCAGCUUCUCUUUAAAGGCAGUGAUUCUCCAAGGGAGAAUGCAUGCUGACCUUCUCUGAUGGGCCACAUCUUUCUCUCUGCAGUUUGCUCAGGUUGGACUGUGAUGUCAGCUUGCAGCCUUCAGCCUAUCAAAUUAGCACUGCUACGUGCUGUUUAGGUACUGUGCUGCAUCCCACAGGUCUGGCUGUUCUUCCUAGCAGUAAGAAGCCACUGCACCAGAAAGGCUACCUACGUGUUGGAGUAUGGGACCUGAAAUGACUUCAAAGCUAAUAGCCAAACCAUGGACACCUGAUGUUUUCAUUGAGGGUUCAAAGAAAGACUCUGUCACCUGCCAAUUAUUUUCUUGGUUUCGGUCAUGAAAGGAUAAUGCAU
rnacentral:lncRNA from 1 species